GACGUAGGGCGCGAGCGUUGUCCGGAAUCACUGGGCGUAAAGGGCGCGUAGGCGGCCUGGUAAGUAGGAGGUGAAAUUCUGCGGCUUAACCGCAGAGCUGCCUUCUAAACUGUCAGGCUUGAGCACGGUAGAGGCUGGUGGAAUUCCCGGUGUAGCGGUGGAAUGCGUAGAGAUCGGGAAGAACAUCGGUGGCGAAGGCGGCCAGCUGGGCCGUUGCUGACGCUGAGGCGCGAAAGCGUGGGGAGCAAACAGG
rnacentral:rRNA from 1 species